rnacentral:SRP_RNA from 1 species
GCUGGGCACGGUGGCUCAUGCCUGUAAUCCCAGCACUUUGGGAGGCUGAGGCGGGCGGAUCACUAGGUCAGGAAAUAGAGACCAUCCUGGCUAACAUGGACANUGUCCAUGUUAGCCAGGAUGGUCUCUAUUUCCUGACCUUGUGAUCCGCCCGCCUCGG